rnacentral:rRNA from 1 species
UGGGGAAUUUUGGACAAUGGGCGAAAGCCUGAUCCAGCAAUGCCGCGUGUGUGAAGAAGGCCUUCGGGUUGUAAAGCACUUUUGUCCGGAAAGAAAUCCUUGGCUCUAAUACAGUCGGGGGAUGACGGUACCGGAAGAAUAAGCACCGGCUAACUACGUGCCAGCAGCCGCGGUAAUACGUAGGGUGCAAGCGUUAAUCGGAAUUACUGGGCGUAAAGCGUGCGCAGGCGGUUUGCUAAGACCGAUGUGAAAUCCCCGGGCUCAACCUGGGAACUGCAUUGGUGACUGGCAGGCUAGAGUAUGGCAGAGGGGGGUUAGAAUUCCACGUGUAGCAGUGAAAUGCGUAGAGAUGUGGAGGAAUACCGAUGGCGAAGGCAGCCCCCUGGGCCAAUACUGACGCUCAUGCACGAAAGCGUGGGGGAGCAAACAGGAUUAGAUACCCUGGUAGUCCACGCCCUAAACGAUGUCAACUAGUUGUUGGGGAUUCAUUUCCUUAGUAACGUAGCUAACGCGUGAAGUUGACCGCCUGGGGAGUACGGUCGCAAGAUU